rnacentral:rRNA from 1 species
CCUACGGGAGGUAGCAGUGGGGAAUAUUGCACAAUGGGCGAAAGCCUGAUGCAGCAACGCCGCGUGAAGGAAGAAGGGUUUCGGCUCGUAAACUUCUAUCAACAGGGACGAAAGAAAUGACGGUACCGGAAUAAGAAGCCAAGGCGAACUAAGGGCCAGAAGCCGCGUUAAAACUUAGGGGGCAAGCGUUAUCCGGAAUUACUGGUUGUAAAGGGUGAGUAGGCGGCAGGGUAAGACAGCUGGGAAAGCCUUGGGCUUACCCCGAGGAUUGCAUUUGGAACUCUCAUGCUAGAUUACAGGAGAGGAAUGCGGCUUUCCUAUUGUAGCGGUUACAUUCUUAGAUCUUAUGACUAACCCCAGUGUCGACUGCGGCUUUCUGGACU